rnacentral:lncRNA from 1 species
GAAAAGCCAGAGACAAGUGACCGGAAGAGAUCGUGCUGUUGGAAUGGUUGCCUGAAAGAGAUCAGUGUGGUGCCUCAAAUGUUCUCUAGAAAGAAAUGUGGUUCCUGAAUAAGAACAGUGCUGGCUAAGUGAGAGCUGAAAGUAAGAAUGGUACUGCCUAUUUUGAUCGUCAGAAUGGGCCGACUAAUAAAAUCACCAAAGUUAUAUUUACUUUGGAUUGUAUAAAUUUCCUAGAAGCCUAAUACGCGCUAUACUUAGCAGGAGAGAAGACGAAGGAAAUUCUUGUUGGUGCUGGUUGAUAAUAUCGAGAGGGCUGCUUGUAUA